rnacentral:rRNA from 1 species
GUAAAUGUGGAGCCGUAGCGAAAGCGAGUCUGAAUAGGGCGUUUAGUAUUUGGUCGUAGACCCGAAACCAGGUGAUCUACCCUUGGUCAGGUUGAAGUUCAGGUAACACUGAAUGGAGGACCGAACCGACUUACGUUGAAAAGUGAGCGGAUGAACUGAGGGUAGCGGAGAAAUUCCAAUCGAACCUGGAGAUAGCUGGUUCUCUCCGAAAUAGCUUUAGGGCUAGCCUCAAGUGAUGAUUAUUGGAGGUAGAGCACUGUUUGGACGAGGGGCCCCUCUCGGGUUACCGAAUUCAGACAAACUCCGAAUGCCAAUUAAUUUAACUUGGGAGUCAGAACAUGGGUGAUAAGGUCCGUGUUCGAAAGGGAAACAGCCCAGACCACCAGCUAAGGUCCCAAAAUAUAUGUUAAGUGGAAAAGGAUGUGGCGUUGCCCAGACAACUAGGAUGUUGGCUUAGAAGCAGCCAUCAUUUAAAGAGUGCGUAAUAGCUCACUAGUCGAGUGACACUGCGCCGAAAAUGUACCGGGGCUAAACAUAUUACCGAAGCUGUGGAUUGUCCUUUGGACAAUGGUAGGAGAGCGUUCUAAGGGCGUUGAAGCAUGAUCGUAAGGACAUGUGGAGCGCUUAGAAGUGAGAAUGCCGGUGUGAGUAGCGAAAGACGGGUGAGAAUCCCGUCCACCGAUUGACUAAGGUUUCCAGAGGAAGGCUCGUCCGCUCUGGGUUAGUCGGGUCCUAAGCUGAGGCCGACAGGCGUAGGCGAUGGAUAACAGGUUGAUAUUCCUGUACCACCUAUAAUCGUUUUA